AAAAAACGAGAACGAAAGAGAAAAAAAAUCAAAAUCUGAUCGCGUCUCGACCUUUCCUUCUUCUCGCCGAACCCGAUAUAAUUCUAUGGUGAAACAUCACAGAUUUGAAAAUUGACGAGCCCGUUGAAGGUGGAGAUUUAUUGACAGACACGGAGAGAGAGAAACUCGACGGAAACUGGCGACGCCUUUGCCGGAUUUUGAGGCGGCGAGAGGCGGAGGAGGAGUCGCGGCGUCUUCAUCAACCACGGUCAAUUCGAGCUCUGUACCUUCUUCUUCUUGUCCGCAUGUGGCGAAUUCGUUCUCGGAGGACGCGAAGAGAUUUCUCCUCCAUCUUCUUCUUCCUCCUCUCCCAUUCCUGUCGUCACCAGUUUUUGGAAAGGUUUGUUUCAGAUUCAUAUAUCGAGCUAUCUAUUCGCUUGCUUGCUUCGACUCCUCGGUGGUAGGCUGGUAGCUUGUUGUGGUGAGAGAAAUUCGUUUUUAGGUUUAACUUAGAUUCCAUUUAAGUUAGUACGACUGAAUCAAACUAGAGAUGUGCUUUUAGAUGUUCCGGAGAAGGCAAUGAUAGCUUAAUGUGAUGGGAUUGAGAAAGUUUCACUUGAUUGCAUGGAAACAAGUUUCAGAUGGAUAGCUGGUUAUGUGUUUCCUUGCUGUUCAUCUGUUUAUGACAUUCUAUUAACAUACUAUAUGGUUUAUCUUGGUAAUAGACUUUAAAAAAAAAAAAAAAAAAAAAAAAAAGCAUUGGUUUAUUUGCUCAAGGGUUAUCGGGAAGAAGUAGAUAAAUUACCAAGAGGGCCAGGGUUCCUUAACGUCUAUCAGAAACUCUAUGAAGCACCAGAUCCGUUUCCUGCUCUUGCUUCCGUUGUUGUAAUUACAGGAGCAAGAGCGUAAAUUAUCUGAAGUGGAGCCUGAGAAUCGAAACAUGAAAGUUGAACUUGAGGAAUUUAGGGCAGAAGCGACUCAUCUGAAAAAUCAUCAGUCCACAAUAAGGAGACUAGAAGAACGGAACCGCCAGCUUGAGCAGCUCAAUGGAAGAAAAUACUAAGGAGGUCGUUGAGAUCAAACAACGAAAUCAGAAUACGUUGGAUCUUUUUAAGGACAGGGAGCAAGCUUUGCAAGGUCAGUUCAUUGUCUCCACUCCACUAUGCAAAAUUUUGCAUGUGCUGGCACAGGAGCCAACUUUUUAACUUCGUGCUCAAUCAGGGACAUCUACGGUCCGUCUCAGCUACAAACAGCUAAUGAAGAUACUGAGAACUAGAAUAGGUGAGCUAGAAUCGCUUCAUAGGUUUGCUUUGGAGUUUGCGGGGGGCCACCACGUUGAUCUCCGUCUGCCUCGUGCAGCAUUCUUCUGAAUAUGCUUGCCGUGUUUCUUCCAUGGCUCGCUUCCUCCAGCGAGGAGAUGCAGACGUGAGAUAGUUCCAGACGAGAAGCUCCUUCAGCAGGUAAGUUUUUGAAUUAAGAUGGCACUUUAAAAGAUGAAAGACUUCUGGAGUUGUAUGAAGAGCUGGGGUAAUGAACAUCAGGCCAAAACCACGGCAAAUCCAGAUCUACCCGUCGUCGAAGACACGGCGAACGCAGCACAGUUCCCAUCGUUCCCACCCAAACCACCGGAUCCUGCAGAUACGAACCCAUCGGAGCCGAUCUCCCCGAUCGCUGCUCCACAGCCAUUUAAUCCUUUAGAUGAUCCUCCAGAUUCUAACAGAUUGGAACUGAUUUCAGAGGUUAAGGAUGCACCUAAGGUAGCUAAAGCUCCACGGUUGAAGAACAAAAAGCUACUCCGGAAGUUUUCAUGUGAAGAAGUCUAUGACAGGAUGUCAAAGAGGUUGUGUGCGUUCUCUGAAGAGGUUGAUAUUCCUGGUCAUCAUCUGAAGCACAAAGGAGUAACGAUUCUAGUGACUGACAAGGAUGAUGAACCCAUUCUUGAAGACACUUUGGUUGAACCCUAUGAACCCGUUACCAACACUGCUAUGAAGCAUGAUUCGUUUUCCAAAUCGUUGGAGUGUUUCACUUCAGCUUUGCAGAUUGUUGAUGUUGCAGUUCAGAGAGAGCACCAAGACGAAAGCAAUGAACACGAAAAGAUGAGCUUAUGUCUUGGAGAAAAUAUCAAACACAUGAUAGGCAGCCAAUCUCAAAAGGCGAAACUCGUAUGGGAGCCAGGUGGGUUACCAACUUAAGUAGCUCAGUGGUACUGGACAGAGAAACGUCAAAGCUUGUGGUUUUCUGCAGCAAAGUCAGAUACGCGACCGACCGAUGAGACGACUUCAUAUUCAACAUAAGGAACUGCAUUUAGAGUUUCAAGACAUGCCGAGAUUGCUAGUUGGUGCAUCUGAGUUUGGCGCUAAGAUUCAUAAACCUCCUGUUCGAAACAAGAAGCUAUUAGGUGAUGAAACCUUGGGGAAGUUCAGAGGAGGAAAGAGCUUAUGGCUGAUGUGAGAUUCAACCUUGUUCAAUCCAAGGAAGGUUAAAUUCUGCUAGAAAGUAUGGUUAAAUGUAAGUUUAGAGAGACUUAUGAAGCUGAAGUUCACAGUGGAGGUUGGGAUUUUACUGUUGAUGUCUCAGCUGAGUGGGGCAACCAAAAUCAGAGAAAAUGGUAUGUUCAGUAACGGAAAAUUCACUAGAUGCAAGGCAUCUUGUAGAAGGACUAAGAAACAGCGUUCACUGUUCUGAUGCGGAGCGUGUACGGGAGCCUGGCGGGUUGUCAGCUAAAGCAUCUCAGUGGGAUUGGUCCCAGAAUUAUCGGACUUGUGUACAGACUUUGGUGAUGUUACUUAGCCUGGCAAAAUAAAUUCAAGAUUGGACAGUGAAUGAAAAGUCCAGCCUUAAGGUAUUUAUCUAGAGGCAAGGAUUCAGUUCGAAACCCCUGGCUCAUGAGUAUGAGAAGCAGUUGCUGCUGUUCGGAUAUCGUUACUUAGAAGUGCAAGUGGGAACAUCCUUACAAGAUUUUGAUCUUCCAUCAAAUAUGGAUAUAGAUAUAGCAUUUUGUUGGAGAAUUUGGGAGUCGUUCUUGUGGUCUCUCUAUCGUGAGGCAAAUUUAACAAAUACUAGGCAAAAGGUUUUGACAAGGCCAGGAGAUAAGCAUUGCCGACAGUAUAAGUGUGGUUCAAGAGGGUCAGUUUAUGAUGGUAAUGUGCUAAUGUCAAUCUUUGCUGUGCUCGUGGGAGGCAAAUGGUAUAAUACGAAGUUGUUAGCUUCUGACCAGAAGGAGCACAAGAACCGUUACUUGUUCCCUGCUGGAUGUUCUUGCAAAACCAAGACCUUGCAGAUUUUAUGGUUAAUGUUGCAGAACAUUCAAAGCAGUGGCUCUGGCAGCAUGAGACACAUUCUGUUCUUGGUGAUUGAGAAAACUAGUGUGUGGUCUGUAUUGCAAGAUGUUGAGAUGUUCUUGAGCCCAAGACUGCUUCAUGACAAAGGAAAAUCAGUUUUUGCUGGCCCGAGAGCUGACCAAACCAUGCUGUUUAUUCUCGAGCAGGGAAUCAUUUUUUGUUUCUUCCAAGGAAGCUUACAUUCUGUUGGGAAGUGUUGUUAAAUGGAAGCAUAAAGAUAUUUCCAAAGUUGGAUCUCGCUAUGGAUCAAAUUAUGCAAAAUAGAGCUGCCUCGGUGGCGAUGUGAAGCAACUAAUCCGUGGUGAAAUGGAGUAUAUAUGAAGCACAAGUGGAAGUCUAAACUCUCAGAGACAGGUUCAGUCUUCAAGAUAAAUCACCAUUCUAACUUUGCAAAGUCGGUACUGGAACCAUCGUUGAUAGAUUUUAGUUUUGAUGAGUACGAAUUCUUCAUCGGCACACAUAGAGUUCCUAUUAAGAUGCCUAUUACGGUUAUGAGUCUACCCGUAGUUCUCCUAAAGCACAUAGUAAGCAACAAAUGCAAGGGAGACAACCUAGUGAAGGCAGCUCAACACGUUUUGGUUGCACAGGUUUCCCUUUUGGUGAAAAAUGAAUUACAAGAUACAAAGCUGCUUGCAGCUAGUGAUACAUUCCACAAGAGGUACCAAGAGGUACAAGAAGGAACUAUGGCUGUUUAUGAAGCUCACUCUCAGUUUAUGGCGAAGAAAAGAAUGUGCUAAAGGACGUCGCAGCAGGAGUUUGCUAUGGAUCAUAUUCUGGUCUCGAUUCUACUGCUCUUCUCACAGCUGGUACAUUUAUGGAUGAGUUCAUCUCAGUUUACUGGUUUUUUGCUCGGUGCGUUAGCUCUGGAUCGUAUAGUGGAUUUCAACCUCUCUAUCUCCGAUCUUCACCUCAUCUUUAUUCUCUCUUCAACCUCCGUGGACUCGGGUUCCUCAGAUGAUCUUCUUCCUCCUUUCUGAUCACCCUACGAUCCAGUUUCCCUUUAUUUCUUAGUUACUGUCUCAUCUCCGGCUGCCUGCAUUCCUGUGAAUAUGCUUGCCGUGUUUCUUCCAUGGCUCGCUUCCUCCAGCGAGGAGAUGCAGACGUGAGAUAGUUCCAGACGAGAAGCUCCUUCAGCAGGGAAGGAUUACUGCGGCUUCAUGUCGCAUAGAAGAUUCUCUGUAACAGUGCUGUAUAGAUUCUUCUAGCAGCAUGCUUCCUUGCGAAACUAGUAGAGCACAGUGCGCAUGUGAAGGAUCCAAGGUCGGGAAGAGAAAGUACCAAGAGCUUACCAAUCAUGGUUCUUUUGAUGCCCACAUGCACCCAAUUGAUGAGAUAAAGCUUUGGCACAAGUCAGUGAACAAGGAGAUGAAAGAAAUAGCCGAUGAGGCUAGGAAGAUUCAGCUGUCUUGAGAUUUUUCGGAUUAAUCUGCAUUUGAUGAACGCUUGCAAUAUAGUGCUGAAGUUUGCAUCUUCCACAGUCUUGCAGAGGACAAGAUCGUAUUUCCAGAAGUAGAGUUUCAUUUUCCGAGGAGCACGAUGGAGAAGAAAAUCAGCUUCACGAGUUUCGAUGCCUAAUUGAAAAUAUCAAGAGUGCUUGGGCAUCUUCCACUUCCGCUGCUGAAUUUUACAGAAGGGGUCCGAGGCCAAUGUCUCAAAAUCAAAAGGGUAGUCACGCCUCUGGUUGCAGUUCAGAGAGAGCACCAAGACAAAAGCAAUGAACACGAAAAGAUGAGCUUAUGCCUUGGAGAAAAUAUCAAACACAUGAUAGGCAGCCAAUCUCAAAAGGCGAAACUCGUAUAACAUUUGUGUCUCUCCAUAACCAUAACCAUACAAUGCGUGCAUACGAUACAGAUUUGUGAGAACCCAAUAUUGAAUAAAUAUAUGAAAAGUAACAUAGUAACUAA